rnacentral:ncRNA from 1 species
UAUUUUUAUAGUAACAAAAAUGGAUUAGUAUUUAAUUUUUUGGAUAAGUAAUCGCUUUUAAAUUUAAUUGAUUAACUAAGCUUGGCUCUGACUUGAUAAUAUAGCAAGAACAUAGUAAUACACAUGGUUUUUAUUGAAAGAGGUGAGGUAAGAAUAAAUAUUAUUUAGGUAAAUUAUAUAAAUAAAUGUUACUUCUUAAAGUAUUAUAGUUAUAGAAAAUGCUUUGAAAAGUCCCACUAACACCAGUGCUGAAGAUUAAUUAAAGGGUGAAAGCCCGAAUUAACUUCGUACAUUAGAUCAGGUUAACUUGGUGCCAGCAUCCGCGGUUAUACCAAGUGAUUAAGUUAUAUUUUUAGGUAAAAAGACAGUUAGACAUAAUAAUUGAAGUUUAUUGAUCAUUUAUAUAAAAGUAAAAUUUGUAUAUAGAUAGUUAAUUUAAUAAUAACUAAUUUAGUUGAAGCUGUGAUAGUCUUGAGGGAAACUGGGAUUAGAUACCCCAUUAUUCUUGACUGUAAAUACAAUUAAAUUUACCAGAGUACUAUGAAUAGUUAAAAAUUUAAAACUCAAAGGGCUUGGCGGUGUUUUAGACCUAUCAGGGGAACCUGUCUCAUAAUCGACAAUCCACGCUAUACCUAACCCUAUUUUGUAAUUCAGUUUGUAUACCGUCGUCGUCAGGUAACUUUUAAAAAUAUAGAAGUUAGCAAAUAAAAUUACUUAAAUUAAGACGUCAGAUCAAGGUGCAGCUCAUAAUGAGGUGAGGAUGGGUUACAAUUAUAAAAUUUAUAAUCACGAAAGUUUAAAUGAAAUUAUAUUCAGAAGGAGGACUUGAAAGUAAAACUAGAAUAUAUAAAUAAGUUGAAUUAGGCUCUGAAACGUGCACACAUCGCCCGUCGCUCUCGUUGAAAAAUGAGAUAAGUCGUAACAUAGCAGAGGUAAUGGAAAUUGCCUCUAGAUG